UGUGCUUGUGGGAGCUUGCGAAGCUAUAUAUUUGAAAGUUUCAGAUUAUCGACAGGCGAGGAAACACUGAUAUAACUUAAUGCCGCCAUGACCAUCACCCGCAGGCACUUUUCUAUACAGAAGACGAUAGCAGGGCACAGGCAGGACACAUUCGUGAUAGACUUCGUGAUGAAGGCUGUUUCCUGGUCCUGCGUUCCUCCCCCACUCCACUCCCACACAUGCACACCUCUGGGAAUCACCCUACCCUGGCGGCGGUGACUAUUAGAAAGACCCCACUGAUGCCCAAGUCGUGAGGAACAAGCAGCAGGAAAAGAAAUGGCAGGAGAAAGGACAGCUAUACACAAUAAGUAUUAUCCUCAUCUUGAGAAAACCAAGGCUCAUGGAGGUCAACUACUUUAACUAGAAGAUGCAGGGCUUGGAUUUGAACCCAGAUAUGUCUGCUUCUGAAACCCAGCCUCCUUCCUCUGUGUCUGUGUUUCUUGAGGCAACCAGAGGAAACUGCCUCUUUGUCUUCAGGUAAGUCUUAGAGUAAGAUAUAGUCAAGUGAUUGCGAGUUUCACAAGCACAGAGGCCAUAGCUGAUUUAUUCACCAGUUUACAUGCAUGGUUACCGGAUGGUAGCCACUCAUACAUAGUUACAAAUGAAUGGCUAAAUAAAAUCAUAACGGAAUGUGAGAUGACCCCUCGUCAGCGAUGCAGUCAAAAAGUGUCAACUGGAAGAGAAUGGA